UGCAGUCGAGCGCCCCUUCGGGGGAGCGGCAGACGGGUGAGUAAUGCAUGGGAAUCUACCCAGCUCUACGGAAUAACUCAGGGAAACUUGAACUAAUACCGUAUGCGCCCUUCGGGGGAAAGAUUUAUCGGAGUUGGAUGAGCCCAUGUCUGAUUAGCUAGUUGGUGGGGUAAAGGCCUACCAAGGCGACGAUCAGUAGCUGGUCUGAGAGGAUGAUCAGCCACACUGGGACUGAGACACGGCCCAGACUCCUACGGGAGGCAGCAGUGGGGAAUAUUGGACAAUGGGGGCAACCCUGAUCCAGCCAUGCCGCGUGAGUGAUGAAGGCCCUAGGGUUGUAAAGCUCUUUCACCGGUGAAGAUAAUGACGGUAACCGGAGAAGAAGCCCCGGCUAACUUCGUGCCAGCAGCCGCGGUAAUACGAAGGGGGCUAGCGUUGUUCGGAAUUACUGGGCGUAAAGCGCGCGUAGGCGGAUCGGUCAGUUAGGGGUGAAAUCCCGGGGCUCAACCCCGGAACUGCCUCUAAUACUGCCGAUCUAGAGUUCGAGAGAGGUGAGUGGAAUUCCGAGUGUAGAGGUGAAAUUCGUAGAUAUUCGGAGGAACACCAGUGGCGAAGGCGGCUCACUGGCUCGAUACUGACGCUGAGGUGCGAAAGCGUGGGGG
rnacentral:rRNA from 1 species